rnacentral:rRNA from 1 species
UACGUAGGUGGCAAGCGUUGUCCGGAUUUACUGGGCGUAAAGAGCGCGCAGGCGGUCGUUCAAGUCGCGUGGGAAAGCCCCCGGCUCAACUGGGGAGGGUCACGCGAUACUGAUCGACUCGAAGGCAGGAGAGGGUAGUGGAAUUCCCGGUGUAGUGGUGAAAUGCGUAGAUAUCGGGAGGAACACCAGUGGCGAAGGCGACUUCCUGGCCUGUUCUUGACGCUGAGGCGCGAAAGCUAGGGGAGCAAACGGG